GGCAGGGGCCGGAGAAGCCACUUCCCCUCACCAUACACAAGAGUGCCGUUAGCAACCCCUCCUCUGGAAAAAGCCUCUCUAAAGCAUGAUCUUCCUGUUUCUUCUAGUCCUUAUUUUGAAUGUACUGUGCUGUGCCAGCUAGGUGCUAGCGCCAUGCUAGGGAAUUACUGCUGGCAAACGGGAGCCUUCUCUACCCUUAUGGAGCUUACGAGCCAAUACAGGAAACAGACUCACAAACAAGACAGAGACGGGAUGUAGACACAGCCACCAAAAAAAGAAACACACACCAGAUCGGGAGGAAGAAGACAGACGGUGAAAACAAAGAGGGGUGAGGAGAGGUACAGAGGACGGGCUCUGUCCGAGCACCCCAAGAAGACUAGCAGAGAAGGAAUCCAGACCAGAAGAGGACACCGAUGAGGAAGGGGCUCUUGGACUCUGCGAUGUGGACCAGACCAAUUUAUGCGGGU